rnacentral:rRNA from 1 species
GACGAACGCUGGCGGCGUGCUUAACACAUGCAAGUCGAACGGAAAGGCCCUGCUUUUGUGGGGUGCUCGAGUGGCGAACGGGUGAGUAACACGUGAGUAACCUGCCCUUGACUUUGGGAUAACUUCAGGAAACUGGGGCUAAUACCGGAUAGGGGCUCCUGCUGCAUGGUGGGGGUUGGAAAGUUUCGGCGGUUGGGGAUGGACUCGCGGCUUAUCAGCUUGUUGGUGGGGUAGUGGCUUACCAAGGUUUUGACGGGUAGCCGGCCUGAGAGGGUGACCGGCCACAUUGGGACUGAGAUACGGCCCAGACUCCUACGGGAGGCAGCAGUGGGGAAUAUUGCACAAUGGGCGGAAGCCUGAUGCAGCAACGCCGCGUGCGGGAUGACGGCCUUCGGGUUGUAAACCGCUUUCGCCUGUGACGAAGCGUGAGUGACGGUAAUGGGUAAAGAAGCACCGGCUAACUACGUG